UAGGCUUGAGCAACUAGUUUUGGUGGACUGCAGGUACCUUGAAGGGGUACCUUUGAGCUUCGGAGAAAUUUAUACACUAAAUGUAAUAGAAGUGAACCGGUGCAACCGCCCUUUAGCCAGUUCAGUCAGGGAAAUUCAGGAAGAGCAAAAGGAAAUGGGAAAUGAACAGCCCAGUGUCCGUGUUUGGAAUUCUGAUUCUGAACCAAAAAAAUGGUACAACUUCUAAAUGUAAAAGUGGCGACUUUAAUUCACCAAAUCCAUUCUGCAUUCAAGGUGAUAAUAUACAUCAAUGCCACUUCACCAUCAUUGAUCUGCAUCUCUUCUCUAUUUUUAUUUUUUUGCACUUCUUUUUCACCUGGAUGGGCCUGGCUUGCUGAGAUGCCCAGUUUGUCUACUACUGAUGAUGUUCUGCAUCACGGAAAGACAGUGAAACUUCCAUUUGUGGUUCUUAACUUUGGACCUUUCCAAGGUGAUAAUAUUAAUGUUGUGUACUUGUGUUUGUGUCAUUUGAGACUUUUGUAUUUGUAUUUAUUAAGGAUUCAGUGAUCAGGCUCACUGGAAAUGCUAUUUUUAUUCCA